UCCGUAGGGUGCGAGCGUUGUCCGGAAUUACUGGGCGUAAAGAGCUUGUAGGCGGUUUGUCGCGUCGUCUGUGAAAACUCACAGCUCAACUGUGAGCUUGCAGGCGAUACGGGCAGACUUGAGUACUGCAGGGGAGACUGGAAUUCCUGGUGUAGCGGUGAAAUGCGCAGAUAUCAGGAGGAACACCGGUGGCGAAGGCGGGUCUCUGGGCAGUAACUGACGCUGAGAAGCGAAAGCGUGGGUAGAGAACAGG
rnacentral:rRNA from 1 species